CCUACGGGUGGCAGCAGUGAGGAAUAUUGGUCAAUGGGCGCGAGCCUGAACCAGCCACGUAGCGUGAAGGAUGACUGCCCUACGGGUUGUAACCUUCUUUUAUAAAGGAAUAAAGUGAGGCACGUGUGCCUUUUUGUAUUUACUUUAUGAAUAAGGAUCGGCUAACUCCGUGCCAGCAGCCGCGGUAAUACGGAGGAUCCGAGCGUUAACAGGAUUUAUUGGGUUUAAAGGGAGCGUAGGUGGGUUGUUAAGUCAGUUGUGAAAGUUUGCGGCUCAACCGUAAAAUUGCAAUUGAUACUGGAAGCCUUGAGUACAGUAGAGGUAGGCGGAAUUCGUGGUGUAGCAGUGAAAUGCGUAGAUAUCACGAAGAACACC
rnacentral:rRNA from 1 species